rnacentral:misc_RNA from 1 species
UCCCCGUUACCGGGGCAGUCUGAUUAGAAAAAUCCAACUAAUCAUAAGGGUUGCGCUCGUUGAUGGACUUAACCAAACAUCUCACGACACGAGCUGACGACGGCCAUGCAACACCUGUCACUGAGUUCCGGCUCUGACGACACAAUCUAAAAGAUUAUGUAUUCAGAGCCGGCACUCACUGCUUUCGCAGUAAUUCUCAGGAUGUCAAGCCUUGGUAAGGUUCUUCGCUUAACAUCGAAUUAAACAACACGCUCCACCGCUUGUGCGGGUCCCCGUCAAUUCCUUUGAGUUUUAGUCUUGCGACCGUACUCCCCAGGCGGGAUGCUUAACGCGUUAGCUUCGCUACAUACCGGGUCGAUACGGCAUACAGCUAGCAUCCAUAGUUUACGGCGUGGACUAC